UACGUAGGGUGCAAGCGUUGUCCGGAAUUAUUGGGCGUAAAGCGCGCGCAGGCGGUCCUUUAAGUCUGAUGUGAAAGCCCACGGCUCAACCGUGGAGGGUCAUUGGAAACUGGGGGACUUGAGUGCAGAAGAGGAGAGUGGAAUUCCACGUGUAGCGGUGAAAUGCGUAGAGAUGUGGAGGAACACCAGUGGCGAAGGCGGCCAACUGGUCCGGUACUGACGCUGAGGUGCGAAAGCGUGGGGAGCAAACAGG
rnacentral:rRNA from 1 species